rnacentral:rRNA from 1 species
CUACGGGAGGCUGCAGUGGGGAAUUUUGGACAAUGGGGGCAACCCUGAUCCAGCCAUGCCGCGUGAGUGAAGAAGGCCUUCGGGUUGUAAAGCUCUUUCAGCCGGGAAGAAAUCGCAUGGGUUAAUACCCUGUGCGGAUGACGGUACCGGAAUAAGAAGCACCGGCUAACUACGUGCCAGCAGCCGCGGUAAUACGUAGGGUGCGAGCGUUAAUCGGAAUUACUGGGCGUAAAGCGUGCGCAGGCGGAUGCUUAAGUCAGAUGUGAAAUCCCCGGGCUUAACCUGGGAAUUGCAUUUGAAACUGGGUGUCUAGAGUGCGUCAGAGGGGGGUGGAAUUCCACGUGUAGCAGUGAAAUGCGUAGAUAUGUGGAGGAACACCAAUGGCGAAGGCAGCCCCCUGGGAUGACACUGACGCUCAUGCACGAAAGCGUGGGGAGCAAACAGGAUUAGAUACCCUCGUAGUC